CCUGCUAAACCGAUGAACUUGAGAAUGAUCAGAGGAAGUCAAGUCCACACAUACACCUGCCAUUUAUUGCCAGGGUGGCAGUUACGGGCUCUCUGAAGAACUAGAUGAAACCCAAGAAGCUAUGGUCUGAUGUAAGAUGUCCACACCCUGUUGAAGAAUUCUAUACUCCUUAUCUGAGCCCACAAUGUUUUAAAGCUCGUUCAACAACCCAUCUACCUGCCUAGGAACCACAAUGCAAUCAAGAGGAGAAGGAUGUUCACACAUGAGACCACUGGGGUGCUGGCACUGCCGUGAAGAGGAAGCCUGGAUCACACAAUCACCACACGGGAGAGAGUCACUGCCUAUCCAGGAAUCCGGCUUUGAAUGGUUCUUAAAAAUCGACAUCUAAAGAACUUGAAAUAUUAUAUUCUAUGUUAUAUUUUAGAAACUACUAACCACCAAAACCUAGACUGGCCUGCUUAAUACAUUUUCUAGAGUCAACAGCCUGAGGUUUUGAAACAGAAUCUUUCCUCUCCUUUGAGCUGCCUUCCAUUGAAAGGAGAAGGCUACUCAUGUUGGCUAUUCACACCACCUUGAGCAGCAGGAGGGCCCUGCCAUGUUCACAGACUCCUUGCAAUUCCCCCCUGGUGUCUUUUGGCUGCCAAGCUACUAGACUACUCUGGCUAAUGGCAGGGACCCCCUGAGGCCUGGCUGGACUCCUUGAGGCACAGGAGCAGCCAGACCACCACCUGAGGAGCUCCACUAGUCAGGCCCUGCUGCCCAGACUUCCCUAGUAGCCCUAACUGACAUUCCUAGCUCCUCCAGGCUGAAGAGUGGAAGAUCCCACCCUAUAGGAGAAAAAACCCUACCAAUCUCUGAGGCUGCCCCAAGAUCAGGUCAUAUAAUCCUUCCAAUCCUUGGCUAUUCUGGAAAAUUCUGCCCCUUCAAGAAACCCUAUAUAAACAAUCCUGUGUUCUGCUCAGUUCUGCUGCUUCUCACCCACUCAGAGGCAGCCACCCUCCUGGAUUUUCCUUCCCAAUGAAUCUCUGGUGUGUGGUUUGUCAUGUGGUGUGACUUUGGUAUUCCUUGGCACCUUUUCAUCUGAGAAUAUAUCUUCUUUUAAGUUCAUUUAUUCUUCUCUUGUACAAUGCAUUUCAAGGCGGCCUCCACUCCUCCCGGUUUCCGCACACAAACCUCCCUUCUUCCCUAGACCUAUUGCUCCUCCAUUUACCUUCAGAUAAAGGUAGGCAUCCCCGGGAUAUCAACGGAGUACAGUAUAAUAAGGUGCAGGAAGACUAGGCACAAACCCUUAUAUAAAGGCUAGAGAAGCAACUCACUAGGAAGAAAAGGGUCCCGGGAGCAAGCAAAAAGGUCAGAGAUGCUCCCCAUUCGCACUGUUAGGAGUCCCACAAAAAACACAAGUUAAACAACCAUAAUUUAUACUUGCAAGGCUCCAUAGUUGACAGGGAUUUCUGUCCCACCAAGUCCCACAGGUUUAAGUCCCAAAGAAACACACAUUAAUUAUAAACUGGUUGACCUAUUAGCUCAGGCUUCUUAUUAACUAAUUUUUAUAUCCUACAUUAACCCAACAUUCUUGUCUGUGUUAACUACAUGGCUUGGCACCUCUCAUCAGCGAGGCAUUCUCAUCUUGCUUCCCCUUGGUCUGGGUAAUGACUGCCGACUGAGCUUUUCUCUUCCCAGAAUUCUCCUGUUCUCAUCACCCCACUUCUACUUCCUGCCUGGUCGCCUUGCCUCUACUUCCUGCCUGGCUACUGGCAAAUCAGCAUUUUAUUAAAAUACAAGUGACAGUGUACAGAUCAUUGUCCCACACCUCUCCAUAACUUCUGCUUCAGUCUUUGUGAGUCCCUGUGAGCCCUGCUUAGUUGAUUCUGUGUGUUGGGGAAGCCCAGCCAAUCAAUCACCUUGCUUGAAGGGCAGGAU